UACGGAGGGGGCUAGCGUUGUUCGGAAUUACUGGGCGUAAAGCGCACGUAGGCGGCUUUGCAAGUUAGAGGUGAAAGCCCGGGGCUCAACUCCGGAAUUGCCUUUAAGACUGCAUCGCUAGAAUUGUGGAGAGGUAAGUGGAAUUCCGAGUGUAGAGGUGAAAUUCGUAGAUAUUCGGAAGAACACCAGUGGCGAAGGCGACUUACUGGACACAUAUUGACGCUGAGGCGCGACAGCGUGGGGAGCAAACAGG
rnacentral:rRNA from 1 species